UACGGGGGGGGGCAAGCGUUGUUCGGAAUUACUGGGCGUAAAGGGCUCGUAGGCGGCCAACUAAGUCAGACGUGAAAUCCCUCGGCUUAACCGGGGAACUGCGUCUGAUACUGGAUGGCUAGAGGUUGGGAGAGGGAUGCGGAAUUCCAGGUGUAGCGGUGAAAUGCGUAGAUAUCAGAAGGAACAUCAGUGGCGAAGGCGGCUUCCUGGACCAAUACUGACGAUCAGGUGCGAAAGCGUGGGGAGCAAACAGG
rnacentral:rRNA from 1 species